GGAGGGUUAGCACGUAACUGGUAGCGUCCCUGACUGUAAAUCAGGUAGCCCUAGGCUCUUGAAGGUUCGAGUCCUUCACUCUCCACCA
rnacentral:tRNA from 1 species